rnacentral:rRNA from 1 species
GACGAACGCUGGCGGCGUGCUUAACACAUGCAAGUCGAACGGAAAGGCCCUGCUUUUGUGGGGUGCUCGAGUGGCGAACGGGUGAGUAACACGUGAGUAACCUGCCCUUGACUUUGGGAUAACUUCAGGAAACUGGGGCUAAUACCGGAUAGGAGCUCCUGCUGCAUGGUGGGGGUUGGAAAGUUUCGGCGGUUGGGGAUGGACUCGCGGCUUAUCAGCUUGUUGGUGGGGUAGUGGCUUACCAAGGCUUUGACGGGUAGCCGGCCUGAGAGGGUGACCGGCCACAUUGGGACUGAGAUACGGCCCAGACUCCUACGGGAGGCAGCAGUGGGGAAUAUUGCACAAUGGGCGGAAGCCUGAUGCAGCAACGCCGCGUGCGGGAUGACGGCCUUCGGGUUGUAAACCGCUUUCGCCUGUGACGAAGCGUGAGUGACGGUAAUGGGUAAAGAAGCACCGGCUAACUACGUGCCAGCAGCCGCGGUGAUACGUAGGGUGCGAGCGUUGUCCGGAUUUAUUGGGCGUAAAGGGCUCGUAGGUGGUUGAUCGCGUCGGAAGUGUAAUCUUGGGGCUUAACCCUGAGCGUGCUUUCGAUACGGGUUGACUUGAGGAAGGUAGGGGAGAAUGGAAUUCCUGGUGGAGCGGUGGAAUGCGCAGACAUCAGGAGGAACACCAGUGGCGAAGGCGGUUCUCUGGGCCUUUCCUGACGCUGAGGAGCGAAAGCGUGGGGAGCGAACAGGCUUAGAUACCCUGGUAGUCCACGCUGUAAACGGUGGGUACUAGGUGUGGGGUCCAUUCCACGGGUUCCGUGCCGUAGCUAACGCUUUAAGUACCCCGCCUGGGGAGUACGGCCGCAAGGCUAAAACUCAAAGGAAUUGACGGGGCCCCGCACAAGCGGCGGAGCAUGCGGACUAAUUCGAUGCAACGCGUAGAACCUUACCUGGGUUUGACAUGGAUCGGGAGUGCUCAGAGAUGGGUGUGCCUCUUUUGGGGUCGGUUCACAGGUGGUGCAUGGCUGUCGUCAGCUCGUGUCGUGAGAUGUUGGGUUAAGUCCCGCAACGAGCGCAACCCUUGUUCACUGUUGCCAGCACGUUAUGGUGGGGACUCAGUGGAGACCGCCGGGGUCAACUCGGAGGAAGGUGGGGAUGACGUCAAGUCAUCAUGCCCCUUAUGUCCAGGGCUUCACGCAUGCUACAAUGGCUGGUACAGAGAGUGGCGAGCCUGUGAGGGUGAGCGAAUCUCGGAAAGCCGGUCUCAGUUCGGAUUGGGGUCUGCAACUCGACCUCAUGAAGUCGGAGUCGCUAGUAAUCGCAGAUCAGCAACGCUGCGGUGAAUACGUUCCCGGGGC